UACGAAGGGGCUAGCGUUGCUCGGAAUCACUGGGCGUAAAGCGCACGUAGGCGGCUUUCUAAGUCAGGUGUGAAAGCCUUGAGCUCAACUCAAGAAAUGCACUUGAUACUGGAUGACUAGAGGACCGGAGAGGAUAGUGGAAUUCCAGUGUAGUGGUGAAAUACGUAGAGAUUGGGAAGAACACCAGUGGCGAAGGCGGCUAUCUGGACGGUUUCUGACGCUAAGACGCGAAAGCGUGGGGAGCAAACAGG
rnacentral:rRNA from 1 species